rnacentral:rRNA from 1 species
CGGAGGGAUCAUUACACAAUAAACAUAUGAAGGCUGCACCGCCAACAGGCGGCAAGGCUGGAGUAUUUUAUUACCCUUGUCUUUUGCGCACUUGUUGUUUCCUGGGCGGGUUCGCCCGCCUCCAGGACCACAUGAUAAACCUUUUUUAUGCAGUUGCAAUCAGCGUCAGUACAACAAAUGUAAAUCAUUUACAACUUUCAACAACGGAUCUCUUGGUUCUGGCAUCGAUGAAGAACGCAGCGAAAUGCGAUACGUAGUGUGAAUUGCAGAAUUCAGUGAAUCAUCGAAUCUUUGAACGCACAUUGCGCCCUUUGGUAUUCCAAAGGGCAUGCCUGUUCGAGCGUCAUUUGUACCCUCAAGCUUUGCUUGGUGUUGGGCGUUUUUUGUCUUUGGUUUUGUCCAAAGACUCGCCUUAAAACGAUUGGCAGCCGGCCUACUGGUUUCGCAGCGCAGCACAUUUUUGCGCUUGCAAUCAGCAAAAGAGGACGGCACUCCAUCAAGACUCUAUAUCACUUUUGACCUCGGAUCAGGUAGGGAUACCCGCUGAACUUAAGCAU